CACAGCAGAAGUACCUUAAAUGUAUUGGUGUAGACCACAGAAAUCCAAUUCCAACAGCAGUGCAAGUGUUGUAUAACAUUAGAAAAUUAUUUCUCAAAGUAGCUUGCACAAUCAGCAAAUCAGUGGGGACAGAAACAAGGAUAGUCACUAUUUUACAGGUGCAGGUUAUAAAGGACCCUAUCACUGGUAUGUGCAAACAAAUAGCAUUCCCUGGACAUCCCAAGAACACCUCCUGACCGACAUUUCUGACAGGAUAGCAGCAUGGGAGCAUCAUGUACAUAGACUGAGAGCGAAGCGUGUGGAGUUGGUUCCCUGGGAUCAUGCCGUUCAAGGAGACAAGGUCUCUCUGUUGUGAAUGAAGCAUUCCAUUCUUUUGUAAAAUGCUCUAACGGAGAAACAUAGAUUAACUGCAUGGAGGAAGUAUUAAUUUCAUAGUAAUGUGAAUGGGGGGCUGCAAUCACCAGUAACAGAAGCUGUCAAAACGCUUGCAAGGAUGUUCUGGAUCUGAUUAACCUCCUCACUAUCUUCAUACUUGACCCAGAAAGAAGGAAUACAUGU